UGAUAUCAGAAUGCUGAAUCGUAGACAGACGGUGUGCAAUGACAAUGCAGGUCCGUCCUUCUCGUGCUUUAUCCAAUGCAGCUUGCACAGUCUGCAGACAAUAGACAACAAAUCAGCAUGACAAUGUGCCAGCUAAAAUGGCAGUUAAGACAUGAGGAAUCCCUUAUAAAUCUAUCCCUAAUAAUUAAGCAUUUCAGCAUUUCUAACACUACCAUUAGAAGUUUUACCUGAAGUAGACUCAAAGGCUAGAAGUUAUUGGUGUGCUUAGCAACUCCAUAAACUAAACCUGAUGCUAACAUAUAGGAAGGAAUGAUGAAAUAUAAAACUCAAAUUGUACAUUUCAGUGCCAAACUGAAUGUCAUGGUGGUUCUGGUGAGUUUAAAAAUUUUCAUUUUUCCUUUGACCUCAAGGUACAAGCUGAGCCAAUUCUUUCUUCUUAGUGCUCUAGCAUAUUGAUGUAAAUGAAACUGUCUAUUCAGAGCAUUUAUUUUUAAAAGUGUUUUAAUAUGUAAUUUUGUUUUGUGUGUAGUGCCCGGUACCACUGGGAGCUUUGGAAAGAGGCUUUGUACAAUACUCAGAAAGGAGGAAGCAACCUUGACCACCUGAAACCUGAGAUACUGCUUCUGCCUUUGUUUGAGGUAAUUUGCAUCAUAACAGAGCCUCACAACAGAGUUCAGAGACACCUUACCAGAUAAGAAAUGCCUGCCCAGAGGAGCAUCCCAUCUCUUUACUCUGUGAAAUAUGAAACACCAUAACCAGAAGGAAAUAUGAAUACAUCCUGCUUACCAACAAACGACUUUGAGAUCCUCAGAAGUCUUGCCUACUUCAACAGCUGUCCCAGAGUCAAUGUGCACCUUGAGCACCCAGAUCCUAAGGUACACUACAAGCUUAUCCCCAAGACUCUCUCAAGCUUUCAAUCUCUGGUGGACCUGAGAGCAGCCACUGGGAAUGAGACUGGAGCUGCCUCACUGGAGAAUUUCCAGGUCUGAAUGCAACAGUGAACUCAGCUACAGUCCUGAUAUUAGAGAGGGUUUCACUGGAAAUCUGAAAAAAAAAAGGAGAUACAAGUAAAAACUCCUAACAAUCCAUCUGAAAUGGCAGGAAAACCUUUCUGACUGACUGCUAGAAAGAGAAGGCAGCACGAUUAUUUGGGUCAACUGUAGACACUAAUAAUAUACAAAAUGGAUUCAGAUCCAAUAAUCACUGCACAAGCCUUAGCCCAUAAUAUAAGAAUCUUUUCUGAAGAAAACCUCAACAUGGCUGCUGUCUCUGCUCCACUUGGACUAGACUGCCGCAAAUAUCCACAAUGAGGAGAGCCUUCUGUGGCCCCUCUCACCUGAAUUUCACACUGUAUGAGCAUCUGGUACCAUUAUCCCUCGAUAAGAGCAUGUGUUGUGCUCACCCUGGCAGAAUGUCAGCUGUUCUCACCAUGCUUGCCUUGAAUUUCUCUGCUGACUAUGUUCAUUGUAUCGUACCAUGAGAGCUGUACCCUUCUCAACAUAGGAUGUAUGGAGCUGUGAAAUACAUAGCUAAAUGCAUCUGAACAGGGGCUUCUUAAAGACAUUUUUUUGUCAUCAAUGCUAACCAGAGAAACUCAUAAAUAUUUUAAACCUUCUUUAGGAAUGUUGGUAUCAAUCAAAAGUGAAAACAUUUUCUUGAUUGCCUAUUUAUUUUUAAACAUUCUUAUUUUAAUUAUUACACAAAUGAUCUUGGGGAAGUGUAGUAUGUUAGUUUAUAGUUCUGUAUCUUUAAAGUCUAUACCUUUUCCAAAAUAGAAAAGCUGAAUUUACUACUAAAUUUUAAUGUGCUUGCAACUCACCUAUUCAAUGACUUACUAUAAAGGCUCAGUAUGUGCAUUUUCUCUUAUAUACUGUCCUUUCUAUGAUCUAUUCUUAUUACAUUUUGGUUUAUGACCUGUGGAUGUCCUGCACACAGUAUAUCACAGAUAACCUGCAUAGGAAUCUCUGAAAACUAUUUGGGUCAAUAGCCCGUGAUUUUUCCCGGACAAGUAAGUAACAUUAGCCCAGGCAAUUGGCAUGCAUUUGGAAGAACAGUGCCAGCAAACUGAAGUAUUCAAACUAUAUUUUCCUAUAUUUAAAAUGGCAGAUAAAGAAUCAUGAUGGAAUCUUCUUAAAGAAAACUUUUUGUAUUGAAUGGUAUGCUUGUGAAUAAAUUAGAAAAUACCACUGAUCAGAGUCACACAUUGCAAAAACUGCUGAAGUAUUCAGUGAUAUUUUUUCCCCUGGCCUCUGGGUCAUUCCACUGCAUGGAAACUGUUGGCCUGGCCAUUUAUCAGAUUUUUCUAGUGAAAUUUGUUUUUCAAUUCCAAGAAGAUACUUUGAUCUAUCACUUGCUAUAAAUAAUUUAGCCAUUCUGGCUGAAUGAUCAGCUGUGAGUGCCAUUCUUUUUUUCACUUUCAGGAGUUGAAAUCCAUCUUUGUUUAAUUAGUGACAUCAUUAAUCCUGGGGUAUUAAUUCAAGUAAUAUGCUUUUUUGUAGAUUUAGUAUAAUUAUAUUAAUAUGCCUGGAUAGUUUAAAUUAGCUCUCAUUAAGUUUUAGUUUAUUUAAACUUUAUAUCCCUCUAUGCUAGAUGGUGGACUCUGUUAGUAAUCCAGUGUGCAAGUCAGUAUUUUCUAUAGUCUAAUCCUCCCUUUUCCCAAAUAGAAAUAAUGCUGGCUUUCAUUAUAUUUUAUCCUUCAAGUUUUCAGUAGCCCACACAGCCAACAGCACCAAUCUGGCUAGUGUUGCUUCAGCAAAAACUUUAAGAAUUAAUAGAAUAUCACAUGUCAGCACAACAGGAGCAUGCAGUCACUUAAAAUGAUUAUUAAUAAGGCCAAGGCCAACAGAAUAUAUCUGUUCUAUGCAUAAAGGCAUAUAUGAGUUCCCACAUGAGCCAAUACCCAAACUAAAAAGGAAAAAAGCCACUAGAAAACUCAUGGUAGGACACUGAGGAAUUGCCCAGGGAAUAACAGAGAGAAGAAAGCAUGCAACAGAACUCAGUCCUCUUUAGUUUAUUAUUGCUCAUGUAGCUAUAAGGACAGGGGAAAAGAGCAAGCUAAUCUCUGGUUUAUACAUCUGGCCAUGGCAUGUGUGUAAGAUCCUUCCUGGAACUAGAAUGGAUUGGGAGUUUUGUCCUCCUUACUACUGAAAAUUGCCCAAUAGGAUCUUCCCCCAGCACUAUUCCACAGGAUACAUCCUGCAUUAUCUCAGCUUCUGGGAAAAGAGAGUGUCCUUUCCCAAUGUACCAUUAUUUUUAAAAAUUAGUGCUUUUUGUGUAUUUCCAAAUGGGAGUUGUCGGGUCAAAACAACAUUAAUAUCUUUGAGCCACAGCAUUGUUAAAAUUCUUCUUUAAGGGAUAUAUAACAUUCAUUCUGCAUUUCAGAGGGGUGGAUUUGAUCAACUGAAUUUUGUCUUCAUCUUUUAAACUUCUCUGAAUGGUUUAGGUCAUGUUCGUUCUCAGACUAUUCACCCAGGGCUAGAUUCACAUAGGGGAACUUAGGCAAUUGAACACAGAGCAUUGCAACUUAAGAUGCCUAGUUACUAAUCCUAGCUAGGUGCCUAGAUUCCCUAUAGUAGAGUUCAGCACUUAAGACCAGGUUCCACAAAAGGCCAUCACACUGCCUAAUCUAUACAGUAAGAAAUACCAUGAGGGUGUUUCUUAAAUCUGACCCACUUAGGUGCCUUUACCCCUGGGAGAAUCUUCCCUCCACUCAGGAUUCACAGUCCUGAACAGUUUCUUGUAUCUAAGCACUUGCUUACAGAAAACAAAGCAGAGAUAGUUUGACUUCAUUCAAAGGGUGGCUGUGGUAUUGUAGUGACUGACAACUCCUAGUUGCUGAAACAUUCACAGAGGAUGUGGAAGAUGUAGUUCUAUUCCCUCUUCUGCCAGUUAGGAUUUGAGCCCACAUCUCCCAGGACAGCAUAACUGUAGGAGACAGCCAUAAAAUAGUCUGGAAUGGGGCAUGUUCACAUCUUCCUGUUGAAGCUGUCCCUAUUUGCAUGGAAUAACAACACAGUCACUAGACCAAAGUUAGAGAGUGUGUGAGCAAGAGUGAACAUGACUUGAUAACUUGUGUGGCAUAUGAUCCUCUGUCUUAGCAUUUAAAAAAACAUAUUACCUGCCCAGUAGCUUCCAGAGCUUGCUUGUCUUGAGAAGCAAA